UUGAAAUGUGGGGACACUGCACACGAGACGCUGCAGCAUGCUGGAGCAUUCUGAUUGGAACUUUCCAGCAGAUUUAAUUAAUCAGAGCGUGUCGAAGCACAUAUAAAGGUGCCCUUAGAGACUAACUCAUUUAAAAAGGCAUAUACUUUUGGAGCCAAGUCCUCUUCAUCAGAUGUUAUUAAUAGAUUACUAGAAAGCAAAGGUACUAAACAAAAAAGAAUAAAGUAAUUUAAAUACAAAGGACAGGGAAAGGGGGAGGAAAGGAUAGGAGCAGGGGGAACUGCUGAGGUAGAGAACGGUGGGUUAAAGAGCUCAAAAGGGAUAAACAAAGUGGUGGACAUAAGGGACACCACUGAUCUCCAAACACUCCUGGCAAAUGGUGGCCAUCUCGGGGCAGUCAGUGGGGACAAGCCUAUCCUGGCUUACAGACAACACUUAAGUUCAAACUGCAUUGCUCCAGUGACAUACUAUCUAACUCCAAUUCCCACCAUGCCUUGCUACAGACCCAGGCGCCAGCUGUGCCUCCUCAACACAGACAAUGCCAUCAUUACAGCUAGCCACAUGAAAUAAACACCUGGACUUCAUUCAUCUGCUCCUCCACCAAUAUCCCAUAGGCCAUCACCUGUUUACUGUGCCCUUUUGCUGCCUACACUGGAUAGAUGGGGCAAUCCCUGUAUAAAAGAAUGAAUGGACACAGUCCAAAUUAAUUCCUGUAACACAAAAAGCCCACGGUGGAGCACUUUAACCUUCCUGGACAUCCCAUCACUGACCUCAGAGUAACAAUCUUAAAAUAAUAAAAAACAACUUGGACAUUAAACUGCAGAACAAGAAAUCAUCCCAUGUUGUAUUGAUUUUGUUCUCAGCAGAAGUUGUAGAUUCUAAUUCCAUUAUGUAGACUAGUUUGUUUACUCUGGUGUUCCUCCAGGUGUUAACCACCUUGUUCAGCUUAAUUUAUCAAUCAUUCCUUUUAUUGCCUCUUGGUAGUGUCCUUUCGCCUUCUGUAUAUAAACUUUUUUUCCUGCCAGAACUUUCACAGUAUCUGGCAAAGUAGGUUGUUGCCUAUGAAAGCUCAUGCCUCUUUGAACCAGUUAGACUCUAAAGGUGCCAUCCUGCCCUACCUUCUCUGCCUUUUAUUGCUACUGCGUAACGCAGGUAAAAUUUGUGACCAUUUUGAGAUCAUGUUUAUAAAUGUUCCUCCUUAACAAUUUGCACUGACACUGUUACCUCUACUUCAGCUGAAGUUCUUUAAAAGCAUCCCCCAAAACAUGAGGCUUUAAAAUAAAUGUUGCUGUGUGUGCAGUUUCUAAGACAAACCACAGGGGUAUAGUAGUUUGAAGAAUUUUGUUUUGUUGUUCUUAGAUACCCAUAAAAACUCUUCUAUUUCUAGUAUGCCGUGAAGUUGCACAGAAAACAAAAAUCCCAAGUUCAAAGCCAAAUCUUGACUGCUGUGUACAACCAGAAUCAAGUAGG